GUCUCUUUGGUGUAGUGGUAACAUGGCCUUUUGUUAAGCCAGUGCCGUGGGUUCGAAUCCCACUGACA